rnacentral:rRNA from 1 species
GAUGAACGCUAGCGGCAGGCCUAAUACAUGCAAGUCGAGGGGUGGAGCUAGCUUGCUAGCUUGAGACCGGCGCACGGGUGCGUAACGCGUAUGCAACCUACCCUUUUCUGGGGGAUAGCCCGGAGAAAUCCGGAUUAAUACCGCAUAAGACCACGAUACGGCAUCGUGAUGUGGUCAAACAUUUAUGGGAGAAGGAUGGGCAUGCGUGCCAUUAGCUAGUUGGCGGGGUAACGGCCCACCAAGGCGACGAUGGCUAGGGGAUCUGAGAGGAUGGCCCCCCACACUGGUACUGAGACACGGACCAGACUCCUACGGGAGGCAGCAGUAAGGAACAUUGGUCAAUGGGGGCAACCCUGAACCAGCCAUGCCGCGUGCAGGACGACGGCCCUCCGGGUUGUAAACUGCUUUUGUACGGGAAUAAACCCCGCUACGUGUAGCGGGCUGAAUGUACCGUAAGAAUAAGGAUCGGCUAACUCCGUGCCAGCCGCCGCGGUAA